GAUGAACCCCUUUGGCGUGCCUAAUACAUGCAAGUCGAGCGAACAGAUAAGGAGCUUGCUCCUUUGACGUUAGCGGCGGACGGGUGAGUAACACGUGGGUAACCUACCUAUAAGACUGGGAUAACUUCGGGAAACCGGAGCUAAUACCGGAUAAUAUUUCGAACCGCAUGGUUCGAUAGUGAAAGAUGGUUUUGCUAUCACUUAUAGAUGGACCCGCGCCGUAUUAGCUAGUUGGUAAGGUAACGGCUUACCAAGGCGACGAUACGUAGCCGACCUGAGAGGGUGAUCGGCCACACUGGAACUGAGACACGGUCCAGACUCCUACGGGAGGCAGCAGUAGGGAAUCUUCCGCAAUGGGCGAAAGCCUGACGGAGCAACGCCGCGUGAGUGAUGAAGGUCUUCGGAUCGUAAAACUCUGUUAUUAGGGAAGAACAUACGUGUAAGUAACUGUGCACGUCUUGACGGUACCUAAUCAGAAAGCCACGGCUAACUACGUGCCAGCAGCCGCGGUAAUACGUAGGUGGCAAGCGUUAUCCGGAAUUAUUGGGCGUAAAGCGCGCGUAGGCGGUUUUUUAAGUCUGAUGUGAAAGCCCACGGCUCAACCGUGGAGGGUCAUUGGAAACUGGAAAACUUGAGUGCAGAAGAGGAAAGUGGAAUUCCAUGUGUAGCGGUGAAAUGCGCAGAGAUAUGGAGGAACACCAGUGGCGAAGGCGACUUUCUGGUCUGUAACUGACGCUGAUGUGCGAAAGCGUGGGGAUCAGACAGGAUUAGAUACCCUGGUAGUCCACGCCGUAAACGAUGAGUGCUAAGUGUUAGGGGGUUUCCGCCCCUUAGUGCUGCAGCUAACGCAUUAAGCACUCCGCCUGGGGAGUACGACCGCAAGGUUGAAACUCAAAGGAAUUGACGGGGACCCGCACAAGCGGUGGAGCAUGUGGUUUAAUUCGAAGCAACGCGAAGAACCUUACCAAAUCUUGACAUCCUUUGACAACUCUAGAGAUAGAGCUUUCCCCUUCGGGGGACAAAGUGACAGGUGGUGCAUGGUUGUCGUCAGCUCGUGUCGUGAGAUGUUGGGUUAAGUCCCGCAACGAGCGCAACCCUUAAGCUUAGUUGCCAUCAUUAAGUUGGGCACUCUAAGUUGACUGCCGGUGACAAACCGGAGGAAGGUGGGGAUGACGUCAAAUCAUCAUGCCCCUUAUGAUUUGGGCUACACACGUGCUACAAUGGACAAUACAAAGGGUAGCGAAACCGCGAGGUCAAGCAAAUCCCGUAAAGUUGUUCUCAGUUCGGAUUGUAGUCUGCAACUCGACUACAUGAAGCUGGAAUCGCUAGUAAUCGUAGAUCAGCAUGCUACGGUGAAUACGUUCCCGGGUCU
rnacentral:rRNA from 1 species